GGAUCUGUAGCUCAAUUGGCAGAGCAAGCUGCUCAUAACAGCGAGGUUGCAGGAUCAUACCCUGUCAGAUCCACCA
rnacentral:tRNA from 1 species